ensembl:lincRNA
AUGAUCCUGGCAGAUUGCCCAGAGUUGAAGAAGAUUCACUGGAGCUGUGUGAUAAUUGAUGAGGCACACAGAUUGAAGAAUAGGAAUUGCAAACUUCUAGAGGGGUUAAAGCUUAUGGCCCUGGAACAUAAAGUGCUACUCACCGGAACACCCUUACAAAACUCUGUGGAAGAGCUGUUCAGUUUGCUAAAUUUUCUGGAGCCAACACAGUUUCCUUCAGAGACUGCAUUCUUGGAGGAGUUUGGAGAUCUGAAAACAGAGGAACAGGUGAAGAAAUUGCAAUCUAUCCUAAAACCAAUGAUGCUUCGACGCCUGAAAGAUGAUGUGGAAAAGAACCUUGCUCCUAAACAAGAGACCAUCAUUGAAGUAGAAUUGACCAAUAUCCAGAAAAAGUACUACCGAGCUAUCCUGGAGAAAAAUUUUUCCUUCCUGACUAAGGGGGCAAAUCAGCACAACAUGCCCAAUCUUAUCAACACCAUGAUGGAGCUGAGAAAGUGCUGUAACCAUCCCUACUUGAUCAAUGGAGCAGAGGAAAAAAUUCUGGAAGAUUUCCGAAAAACUCACAGUCCUGAUGCUCCUGACUUUCAGCUGCAGGCCAUGAUCCAGGCAGCCGGGAAGCUGGUGCUGAUUGAUAAACUGCUUCCUAAGCUGAUUGCAGGUGGCCACAAAGUGCUCAUCUUCUCCCAGAUGGUGCGCUGCCUUGAUAUCCUCGAAGAUUAUCUCAUCCAGAGAAGAUACACCUAUGAGCGAAUUGAUGGGCGAGUACGGGGAAACCUGCGCCAGGCAGCCAUCGACCGAUUCUGUAAGCCAGACUCAGACCGCUUUGUCUUUCUUCUGUGCACCAGAGCGGGAGGCCUGGGGAUCAAUCUCACAGCUGCUGAUACCUGCAUCAUAUUUGAUUCUGACUGGAACCCACAAAAUGACUUGCAGGCUCAGGCCCGAUGUCACCGUAUAGGCCAGAGCAAAGCUGUGAAGGUGUACCGCCUCAUCACUCGGAACUCCUAUGAGCGGGAAAUGUUUGACAAGGCCAGCCUAAAGCUGGGCCUGGACAAGGCUGUCCUUCAGGACAUCAACCGAAAGGGCGGCACCAAUGGAGUACAGCAGCUCUCAAAAAUGGAGGUGGAGGAUUUGCUCCGGAAAGGUGCUUAUGGAGCCUUAAUGGACGAGGAGGAUGAAGGUUCCAAGUUCUGUGAAGAAGAUAUAGACCAGAUUCUGCAAAGGAGAACCCACACCAUCACCAUCCAGUCCGAAGGGAAAGGGUCCACUUUUGCCAAGGCUAGCUUUGUGGCUUCAGGAAACCGGACAGAUAUUUCCUUAGAUGACCCUAACUUUUGGCAGAAAUGGGCUAAAAUAGCUGAACUGGACACCGAAGCAAAGAAUGAAAAGGAGAGCUUAGUGAUCGACCGGCCUCGUGUAAGAAAGCAGACCAAACACUACAACUCUUUUGAGGAGGAUGAGCUUAUGGAGUUUUCAGAGUUAGACAGUGACUCAGAUGAAAGACCCACAAGAUCCAGACGCCUCAAUGACAAAGCCAGGCGCUACCUCCGAGCUGAGUGCUUCCGAGUAGAGAAGAACCUGCUCAUCUUUGGCUGGGGCCGAUGGAAGGACAUCCUGACUCAUGGGCGAUUCAAGUGGCACCUGAAUGAGAAGGAUAUGGAGAUGAUCUGCCGGGCCCUGCUGGUGUACUGUGUCAAACAUUAUAAGGGGGAUGAGAAGAUCAAGAGUUUCAUUUGGGAACUAAUCACACCUACGAAAGAUGGACAGGCCCAGACUCUCCAGAACCACUCAGGGUUGUCUGCCCCAGUCCCUAGAGGGAGGAAAGGAAAGAAGAUGAAGAAUCAGCUGCUGCUCCCAGAACUAAAAAAUGCAGACUGGCUGACCACCUGCAACCCUGAGGUGGUCUUGCAUGAUGAUGGCUACAAGAAACACCUCAAGCAGCACUGUAACAAAGUCCUUUUGCGAGUCCGGAUGCUGUACUACCUAAAAGCUGAAAUCCUGGGAGAAGCAGCUGAUAAAGCAUUUGAGGGAGCUCCUGCCAGGGAACUGGAUGUGCCUCUGCCUGACAUUGACUACGUGGAGAUCCCAGUGGACUGGUGGGAUGCUGAGGCUGAUAAAUCCCUUCUCAUUGGUGUUUUCAAGCAUGGUUAUGAGAGGUACAAUGCCAUGCGAGCAGACCCAGCCCUCUGCUUCCUGGAGAAAGUUGGGAUGCCAGAUGAGAAGUCCCUUUCAGCAGAGCAGGGUGGUACAGAUGGGACAUCAGACAUUCCUGAAAGAGGCAACAUGGAUAAAGAAGACACCACCGAAGACAAAUUAGAUGGCCUCCAGAAACAAACGGAGAAUUCCAGUGACGGUGGCGAAGGCGUUUUUGGUGAAAAGAAGGAUGACAGCCGGGCAGCCCAGGAUAGCUCCGACCCAGACAAAUCACCCUGGCCAGUUUCAUCCGCUCUCACAGCUCGUCUCCGGCGUCUGGUCACUAUCUACCAGCGCUGCAACCGUAAAGAGCUCUGCAGACCUGAAAUCCUGGGACCGGGUAACCAGGGAUACUGGGUUCAGGAGGAGAUGUUCAGGAGAACCUCAGAAAUGGACCUCAUCAACAAGGAAACCCAGAAGAGGUGGACCAGGAGAGAGCAAGCAGACUUCUACAGAACAGUGUCUUCCUUUGGUGUUGUUUACGAUCAAGAGAAGAAAACCUUCGACUGGACCCAGUUCCGCAUCAUAUCCCGUCUGGACAAGAAGUCAGAUGAGAGCCUGGAACACUAUUUUUAUAAUUUUGUGGCCAUGUGCCGGAACGUCUGUCGUCUGCCUGCCUGGAAAGAUGGUGGUCCCCCUGAUGCCACCGUCUACAUUGAACCCAUCACUGAGGAACGGGCUGCAAGAACUCUGUACCGCAUUGAAUUGUUACGGAAAGUCCGAGAGCAGGUGCUCAGGUGUCCUCAGCUGCAUGAGCGCCUCCAACUCUGCAGGCCCAGCCUCUACCUCCCAGUCUGGUGGGAGUGUGGCAAGCAUGAUCGAGACCUGCUCAUCGGUACGGCCAAACACGGGCUUAACCGUACUGACUAUUACAUCAUGAAUGACCCCCAGCUGUCCUUCCUGGAUGCCUACAGAAACUAUGCCCAGCAUAAAAGAACUGAUACUCAGGCACCAGGCAGUCUCUGUUGUCUUUACCAGACCAACUCCAAAUUAUAUGAAUCUCUUACCUAUGCUCAAAUGAGUAGGACUUCAGAGUCUCUUGAGAGUGAACCUGAGAACCUGGUGAAAAUUGAAAGCAGAGAUGAUCCUCUGGGUCUGCCUGGAGGCAGCUUUCCUGAUGUGACUUGUGACAAUUUUAUUUCUAAAGUUCAGGAUGUUAUUUCUAUCAACCAUGAUGAAAGUCUGCUGCCUGAGAGCUUGGAGAACAUGAUGUAUGGUAACAAGGUCCUCAGCCCAGAGCCAGGCUCUUUUCAGGAAGGCCCAGUAAUCAACACAGAAUGCAGAAAAGAUACUGUUGUGAUCUCAGCAAGCAAAAAUGCAGGCUGCCGGCCUGGUGACCGUGAGGCAGAAAUAGCUGCAGUUUCUCUUAUGGAUACCAUAGAAGCAGGAGUAGCUCAAAUGAACAUCGAAAGUGGAGAACAUUUGUUGACACCUAUUUCAAAGGAAAGGGAGCGCUGCUGCGGUGAGGCAGGGCGGAGACCUGAAAGCUUGGGGCAGCUGGAAGCCAAAUGCCUACCUUCCACUGCCUUGGAUGCAGGAAAUGAAAGUGGGUUUGUAGAUAUGUGCAGUCUCAGUGUCUGUAACUCUAAAAGAAACCUCUCAUCAGAUCAGAAAUUAAUUGAUUUAUUACAAAGCAAAAGUUUAGAAACUAAAUUGAUUUUGAGUCAGAACCAGAGUGAUGAGGAGGAGGAAGAGGAUGAAAAUGAGGAAGAAACUUUAGCCAUGGCAGCAGGCACCAGAGAAAAGCCAGAAGCUUUGCAUCUCACCAGUCCCACUGCUAACAACCCAAGGGAAAAGAGCCAAGGCUUCCAUCUGGAUGAAGCUAAGAAAGGAAGCCUAGAGGUGGUGAGCCAAACUCCUGGGCCGCCGAGGGCCUUUCCUCCAGCGUCCUGUCAGUGCCACUGCAAACACGUGGAAAGGUGGGCACACGGCCUCGGGAAUGAUGAAUUUGAAGUAGAGAAACCCAAGGCUUAUCACCCAGACCUGUACAAAAGCAAAGCCAAUAAUACCACCAUGGAAGGUGAGCCCACUACUAUUCCAUCAGAGCCAUUUAAAGUGAAGCCUGAGCUUUUAAAAGAACCUUGGAAAGAAUGUGCAGAAAGAAAAAAAGGUUUCUCCACAUACGCUCCCGAAGGAAGUGAACCCAAGUCAGAAGACAUGGAUUUCGAAAAUAAAGAUGACUAUGACAGAGAUGGAACCUGCCAGAGUCAAGACUAUCCAGGGAAAUACUCAGAAGAGGAGAGCAAGAGCUCAGCCUCGGGUAUUGCCGGAGACCUUGGGGAUGACCCACAGGAGGCUCGAGCUCCCACCAUUGCUCAGCUGCUGCAGGAGAAAACCCUCUACUCCUUCUCGGAGUGGCCAAAGGAUCGUGUGAUAAUUAAUCGCCUAGAUAGCAUCUGCCAUGUGGUGUUGAAGGGAAAGUGGCCAUCUAGCCAGCAGUAUGAGCCCUCGGGCACACUGUCCACCCCAGUCUUAGUCAACAGCGCUGGUUCUCGGAACAGUCUCCCGGAGCCAGAAGCAGCAGAACACAGCUUCAGCAACGGUGCGACAUUGGCAGCUCAGGUCCAAAAGGAGAGCUUCUUAGCUCCAGUAUUCACAAAAGAUGAACAAAAGCACAGACGUCCCUAUGAGUUUGAGGUGGAGAGGGAUGCCAAGGCUCGGAGCCUAGAACAGUUCUCUGCCACCCACGGGCACCCCCCCAUCGUCCUCAAUGGCUGGCAUGGAGAGUCAGCUAUAGACCUCUCCUGCUCAUCAGAGGGGUCCCCAGGAGCCACAUCCCCUUUCCCAGUGAGUGCCAACACCCCUAAGAUUGGGGCUAUCGGUUCACUUCAAGGAGCCCUUGGCAUGGACUUGUCUGGGAUCCUGCAAGCUGGCCUGAUCCACCCAGUGACUGGACAGAUUGUCAACGGAAGCCUCAGACGAGAUGAUGCUGCCAUGAGGAGGCGGAGGGGAAGACGGAAACAUGUUGAAGGCGGGAUGGACCUCAUCUUUUUGAAGGAGCAAACACUUCAGGCAGGAAUCUUGGAAGUCCAUGAAGACCCAGCACAGGCCACCUUGAGCACCACACACCCUGAAGGCCCAGGACCUGCUACCUCGGCCCCUGAGCCAGCAGUAGCAGCCAACGGCCAGGCCGAGAAAACCAUUCCAAGCAAGAGCCUGCUUGACUGGCUGCGGCAGCAGGCUGACUACUCCUUAGAUGUUCCUGGCUUUGGGGCAAAUUUUUCAGACAGACCAAAGCAGAGGAGGCCACGCUGUAAAGAACCUGGAAAAUUAGACAUCAGCUCUCUGAGUGGAGAAGAGAGGGUUCCUGCUGUCCCCAAGGAGCCAGGACUGAGGGGGUUUCUCCCAGAAAACAAGUUCAAUCAUACCCUGGGUGAGCCUGUACUUCGGGAUGCAGGCCCCCGCCGGAGGGGGCGGCGGCCUCGGAGUGAGCUCCUGAAAGCGCCAGCCAUUGUGGCAGACUCUCCCUCUGGAAUGGGACCUCUAUUCAUGAAUGGGUUGAUUGCAGGAAUGGACCUGGUAGGAUUGCAGAAUGUGAGAAAUAUGCCAGGCAUCCCUCUCACUGGGCUGGUGGGCUUCCCAGCUGGCUUUGCAACCAUGCCUACAGGCGAAGAGGUAAAAAGCACCCUCAGCAUGCUGCCCAUGAUGCUGCCAGGCAUGGCCACAGUGCCCCAGAUGUUUGGUGUUGGGGGACUCCUCAAUCCUCCUAUGGCAACCACCUGCACGUCCACUGCUCCAGCGUCACUCUCAAGCACAACGAAAAGUGGUACGGCAGCCACUGAAAAGACUGCGGAGGACACACCCGGCGGCCAUGAUGUAAAAGCAGACACGUUAGCUGAAGACAAGCCUGGUCCUAGUCCAUUUUCUGAUCAGUCUGAAUCCGCAAUAACUACUAGUAGCCCUGUGGCUUUUAACCCGUUUCUCAUCCCGGGAAUGUCUCCUGGACUCAUUUACCCAUCCAUGUUUCUCUCCCCUGGUAUGGGCAUGGCUCUGCCGGCCAUGCAGCAGGCCAGACACUCUGAGGUAGUUGGUCUGGAGAGCCAGAAGAGGAAGAAGAAGAAAACAAAGGGGGACAACCCCAACCCCAACCCCAACCCCAACCCCAACCCAGAGCCUGCUCCCGGGUGCGAAAGGGAGCCAGGCGCUGAUCAGAACUGCACCGAAUCCAGCACCCCUGUACCCCCAGAGAGACAACAUGUGACACAGCCUGGAGAAGGGGGACUCAAGGACUCCAACAGUGACACCAAUUAGAACUUUUUCAUUUAAGAAAUUAUUGUGACUUGUUUCUUAUCCCAUAAAGGUUUGUUACUUCCCUCACUCCACCUUCAUAAGAACCUGUGUUUCCAUGAGUAAUAUGACCUACCUAUUUUCCUGUCUGAGAACUAUGGUAACAGAUGUUAAUAGUUGCAGGGUCUUGCCACUCCGUUAGAUAAGUGUCGUCUACCUAGUCUAGGAGGCACAGAAUUCUCAUUCAGUUAUCCAGUCGUUCAUUCCAGCAGUCCUAGUUAAUACAGUACUUGGUGACACAUCCUACCCCCUCUUCUUCCAAGUUUCCCAGUUAUCUGAGGACAAUGGCAAGAGAAAGCUGUCCAAGGAUUUGCCAUUGAAGGGCCGAAGAACAGAUGCAAAGAAGAGCUCUUUUUCUCGUGAGCUAGGUUGAAUAGGGAAAAUGUAGCAAGAAAACCAAAAAGCACAGAAAAAGAAAGUGUUGGUGUGUAUUUUUGUGUUAAAAUACGUCCCUAUUUUAUCAUGAUUUCUGAGUGAGUAGUAUAGUCCAAAGUAUAUAACUAAUGGUUGAAAAUGCGUAUAUUGAUUUCUUUAUAAAAAAACAAAAACUUUACUGUUAGUAAUAUAAUUUCCCCCUUCAUGGUUUUUUAGAUACCUGCAGCAAGAGAAAAUAUUAGCUGUCUAGGCAUUAUUUUGUGUCUGUGUAUAGCGUCCCUCUCCCCAGUUAAAAGGUGACUCUAAGUUGGAGAAAGCUUCGCCCACAGUGAGUUACCACCAGCCACUGGGGUACGGCAGGGGCUCGCUCACACUCUUGCAGAGUUGCACGUUGCUUCACAAGCACACCGAUAGAACUCUGCUCCACCUCCUCCCCUGAAAACCUCUCUGGUCACUAAUUUGCCUCAUUGUGUUUAAAGAAUCCUACUGGAUUUUUAUUUGCGCUUUCGUUCUUCAGGAAUGAGGCUUCCAGAGCCUGGGAGAAGAUAGUUGCUCAACACUUGCUAGGUUCUAUCUUCAGGGUUAUCUGAGGUUGUCAAAAUGCACAUACCAUCUUUUACACUACAACUGUGAAAAGUUUUUUCCCCUCUCUCUCCAUUAUUGCUUUACUCUUUGUAUCUUACAGUCGAGCCCAAAUUCCAAAUUAUCACUUAGCCGAGACUGUCGCAAGUCAGCAAUACUCCCUGUGGUUCCUCCGCUCGCCUGUGUUUCGGGACUGAGUGGGGCGGAACCCACCCAAGCAGCGCUUCCCGUUUGCUUUCGCCUUCGCUCACGUACAUCACAUCCCUCCCGAUGCUCUUCUCCUUCAUGGACAGCUCAUGCUCGGAGACUUGAAAAGAGAUCACAGAUAGCACUCUGGGGGCGCAGGGCUUGCAGAGCUGUUGGAAGUGUUGCGAGUGUUACUAGUACCAGUUUCACUUUGUGUUUGUCACAAUUUACUGUAUUUUUUACUGUUUCUGUUACAGUUUUGCUAAUUUAUCAGAAGGUCCAAAAGUUUGACAUAACUACUUCAGUUUGCAUUAUUUAUUUAUGAUGCUUUUGUCAUUGUCUUUUCUACAUUUGGAAUUAUAAAUUAUGUAAAUGUUAAAAUGAGCAUCUCAAAGAAGUCUGUUAAGUUGUGACCGAAGAAAAUCAAUCAGGUGUAUUUUCCAAAAGCAGAGUCCCAGUUUUUUGAAUCAGAGAUAUAAACUAGAAAUGCUAUAACUGAUCCUAUGAGAAGACAGAAUCUGAUAAUUGAAUAAAUCCUAUUUAAUGACGCUCUCAUAGUGUAGAUGGUCUAUAAUGCUGACAACAGAUUUCUUAGAAAUGCUGCUCUCUCUAUUUAACUAACAUUUUGUUCAUUUUGCCUCCAGUGGAAGCAGAAAGGGUUUUUUCAGCUGUUAAAUCCUGAAAAUCAAUAUAAUUUAUUUAUGUAAAAGAAAAAAAUCACUCAAUCGAUAUAUUUUUGAACCUUUUAAGUACUAAUUUUCUUUUUAUCAAGUAGAAAAAAAAAAUGUAUUUGCCCUAAAUCCUUAAAAUACAAAUGCUAUAAAAAUUCCUGUAUCUUGAAAGCCUUACUGCAGAUGAGUAUUAUAGACAUCCAGCAGAGUCUGGUUUUCUUCGUUGUCCUUGUGUUGUUUUGUAUGGAAAAGCCGCUUUCCCCAGGUUUCACGUAAACCUCCAGUAAGUCACAGGGUUGAAUGUGGAUCUGACGUAGAAACCCACCAGCAUGCGCAACCCCUUGUUAUAUCUUAUCAAACCUGUAUGUUAACUCGGGUGUUCAGGCUUCUGUUUGACUGCUAUUGUGACCCUGUUUUUGCAAAAUGAAACUGACACUCUGUGGAUUACUUGCUCUGUAAGGCAUAAGUGCUUCUUAUGAUUAUUUUGAUAUUUCUAAGAGCAAAAGCCAAAUUUAAACUCUCUUCAGCAAACUUGAGCCUUUUCAUCUAAUUCCAUGUCACUCACAGCCAUAGCUUUCCUUGAUCAUUCUUCACCCCAUGUCUCACGUAAUAAAUUGUCUGUGGUCUUGAUCCUGGAUUUAAAAAAAAAAAGUGGAAAAGUCCAGUUUGUAUUUGAGGACUUCAGUGGCACUUGCAUAUCUGUUACAGCCUGGCAUUUUACAACUGCAUCGUAAGUACUCAAGGAAUCUGCUGUCUGCCCCGCGUCCCUCAUUUGUGCUGGCCACCCUGUUGAAGCCUGCUGAAUAUUCAGCCCUGAGGAUUGACCUAACCUGUCUCUCACCCUCCCAGAGGACCAGAUUAAAACAUGCCCUGGAAGGGAGUUGGCAGCAC